rnacentral:misc_RNA from 1 species
GUAGUCGCCCGGGUUGCCGCAGGCCUCCCGGGUAACCUACCACCCUUUGCUUAUUACACUUUGUUGCUUUGGCAGGCCUGCCCUCGGGCUGCUGGCUCCGGCCGGCGAGCGUCUGCCAGAGGACCUAAACUCUGUUAGUCUAUACUGUCUGAGUACUAUAUAAUAGUUAAAACUUUCAACAACGGAUCUCUUGGUUCU